rfam:Felis catus isolate Cinnamon breed Abyssinian chromosome C2, whole genome shotgun sequence.
GCCUGGGUGGCUCAGUUGGUUAAGCAUCCGACUUUGGCUCAGGUCAUGAACUCACAGUUCGUGGGUUCGAGCCCCACAUUGGGCU